rnacentral:rRNA from 1 species
GACGAACGCUGGCGGCGUGCUUAACACAUGCAAGUCGAACGAUGAAGCUGGAGCUUGCUCCGGUGGAUUAGUGGCGAACGGGUGAGUAACACGUGAGCAAUCUGCCCUUGACUCUGGGAUAACUGCGGGAAACUGUAGCUAAUACCGGAUACGAGGCUCGAAGGCAUCUUCGGGUCUGGAAAGAAUUUCGGUCAAGGAUGAGCUCGCGGCCUAUCAGAUUGUUGGUGAGGUAAUGGCGCACCAAGGCGACGACGGGUAGCCGGCCUGAGAGGGUGACCGGCCACACUGGGACUGAGACACGGCCCAGACUCCUACGGGAGGCAGCAGUGGGGAAUAUUGCACAAUGGGCGAAAGCCUGAUGCAGCAACGCCGCGUGAGGGAUGAAGGCCUUCGGGUUGUAAACCUCUUUUAGCAGGGAAGAAGCGAAAGUGACGGUACCUGCAGAAAAAGCACCGGCUAACUACGUGCCAGCAGCCGCAGUAA